UUGGGUUCAGAGAGGGUGGGCGGAGGAGGGGGAGGACGCCGACUGGGCCACGGGGGAGGGGACGGGCUGCAGCAUCUGGCUACACACCUGCUCCUGCUUAACCCUGUGCGUGCCGAGCGCUGGGUUAGCGGGGGCAGGCUAACCCGCAGCAGAGACUGGGGGGACACCUCCCUUGGGCCCUUGGCCAGGUUUGGAGAUCUCCAGAAGCAGGAUCAAAAGGGAUCCCAGUGGAGACAGAACUCCCGAUGCGCUCGGAUGUGCCCUUGGCUCCCAGUGGGACGCAGCAGUCUGGAAGGGCAAAUCGGGGUGGCUUUAGUGAGGGAGGCGACGACUACCUGCCGGCCUAUGGCCAUUCCGGGAAGCCGGCUUUCCGGAGGCCUUGCGGCGGCCAGGAUCCUCCCAGGCGACAGGGCCGGUCGCGCGGCUUCCUUCCAGGCUCGGCGCUGCAGGGUUAAAAUGUUUGGAAGGCUCCACUACACCACCACAUACACACACACCACCGCCACCAUCCUCCGCGGCGGCUGCAACUAGAGAAGAAAAGUUAGAAGGAGGUUGGUCAAACUGGUCUCGAUCCUGAGAUUACCUGGGUAACUGGAGACCAUAAUUCCAGGAAUCGAUAUCCCUUAAAGACCAGCGCCUGGACUCUACUGGGUAAACUCCCAUUUCCACUUCCUCCUCUUCCUCUAUCUGAACAAUAUGUAUCAUUAAAUCAUGAAAUUGUUGUUGAAUU